GUCCAAGGUACGCAGAGGGGACUUUCAUCAGUGAUUACAGCAUCGCCAUGGACAAGAUCCGACAACAAGACUUCGUGAACUGGCUGCUGGCACAGAGGGGGAAGAAGAGUGAGUAAGUAGUUCCCUCCUGUCUCCGCCACGUCCAACUCUGCUCGCACCAUCUCCCAGAUGGCCACAUGGGCUGUGAGGGGCACAACAUCACAGAUACCUUUCAGGAAGUAAGCAUGAGGGAACUAAAUGGCCAUGACUAGGGCUCUGGGAUCGACUGGGCACAGGGUUCGUUUUCCCACCCUUAUGUUGGUUGGUGACUUUACAUCGUGUCUGUGUGAGGGUAUCCAGGGGUUACAGACAGUUGUGAGCUGCCAUGUGGGUGCUGGGAGUUAAAUCCGAAUCCUCUAGAAGAGCAGACAGUGUUCUUAACCAUUGAGCCAUCUCUCCAGCCCCCAUCCUUUACUAAGGAAAGCUGUAGUGACAAUUUUGGUAUUUUGGUUUCUUUAAAAAAAACCACAGAAAUGGCUGGGCGGUGGUGGCAUACGCCUUUAAUCCCAGCACUUGGGAGGCAGAGCAGGCAGAUUUCUGAGUUUGAGGCCAGCCUGGUCUACAAAGUGAGUUCCAGGAUAGCCAAGACUACACAGAGAAACCCUGUCUCGAAAAACCAAACCAACCAACCAACCAAACAAACAAAACAAACAAAACCCCCACAGAAAUGGGACUGAAGAGAUGGCUUAGAAGUUAAGAGGUUAAGAGCACUGCCUGCUCUUCCAGAGAACCUGAGUUCAAUUCCCAGCAACCACAUGGUGGCUCCCAGCCUUCUGUAAUGGGAUCCGAUGCCCUCUUCUGGUGUGUCUGAAGACAACAGUGUGCUCAUACACCUGAAAUAAACAAACUUUUAAAACAACAAACAAACAAAAAACACAGACACUUUAUAAGAAUAUAUCUUUGUUUUAAUCCCAGGUGUGGGAUAUGGGGUUGCUUCAGAUUGUUCAUAGCAGCUGACUCUGAUUUGUCUCAUGCUGUAGCAGGGAUGUGAUUUUGCUAGCAGCAGAUAGUUUCUAUGACUGUAUGAUGUUUGGAAUUCUGGGGACUUUUCAGAGGAUUAAUAAUGCUAAGGUUCCAAAGGUUGUUUUUGUGUGUGUGUGUGUAUGGCAGGGGGUCAGGGGUUAGUGGUGGUAGAAGGGUUGUUGUUGGUUGUGAUAAUCCUGUGUAAGUAGUCCUGUGUAAAGAAGGAAGAAGCCGAGCGGUGGUGGCGCACACCUUUAAUCCCAGCACUUGGGAGGCAGAGGCAGGUAGAUUUCUGAGUUCGAGGCCAGCCUGGUCCACAAAGUGAGUUUCAGGACAGCCAGGGCUAUACAGAGAAACCCUGUCUCGAAAAGAAAAGAAAACAAUAACAAACAGAAAUAAGAAAUUAUAUAUCCUGAUAGUGAAGGUCAAAUUUGCAACAAGAACUGGACACCCCUAAUCAGCAGGAAGUCGUCUAAAGACAAUGUUGUUCCUUUUCUUUCUAUCCCUUUUUCUUUCUUAUCUAGUGUUAGAGGGUUGAAAGGAUGGAAGAAAAGAGGUAAGGAGGGCGGAAGAAAGAACCCACAAAGCGCGAUAGAGCAGCUACAGGAGUCAGAGGAAAGGGUAGAAGCAGCAGAGAGAUCCCCAGAGGCCUGGGGGUGAAGGCAGGAGGAGCUGGGUUGCCUGUUUGGUGGUGGCUACUUCAGACUCUGGAAGUAAACCGCCAUUGUGCCUCUCCCAACCUGUGCUGAGUCUUGUUCACUGCUGUUAGGUUAGCCUGGUGGAUUCUCAGGUGCUGUCAGUGGUGGCUGAGACUGAACCCAGGCAGUGCUGGGGGUGUCUGCGUGUCAGUACAGGAAGUAGGCACUGUUGUUCCUACUGCUGAGGUAUUGAAGAUUCCAGUGCCCCUGUGUGGGGGAACUUCAGUUUGUCCCCUUCAGC
rnacentral:lncRNA from 1 species